AGAACUCUGACGGCGGAGCCAAUUUCAGAUCCAAGAUGGAAGAUUGAAGAAAUUCAGUGGCUAGGGUUUGAAAGAGGGGAGAAUUAGGGUUAAAGGGGAGGAUAGGUUAAGAAAUGAAGGGGAGAGAAUAAUUUUUUUUAGAGAAGGGUCGGAGAGCUAGCUUCAUGCUUCAGGGGGGGAAAAAAGACAGAGAAUUGGGUUUUUUUUCUUCAUAGGAUUUUGAAAAGACUGAGACAAUCGUUGUUGAAGUCAGUGUUGUAAUGGUGAAUUCGGAUUUUUAAUGAAGUGGGUUUGAUUACUCUUGACUGUUUUGAGAAAUCGAGUUACAUCUGUGAUGAAGAAUUAAAAGGGUGUCUAUAGGAUUGAGUAUGCGGAGUGAAUGAAAUUUAUUGGAUUAAUCUAACAAGACAGUCAGUGGAUACAAGAUCGUGAGUAUAAAGCGGUAUCAAAGAU
rnacentral:lncRNA from 1 species